AUUGUUUUGUUUCUUUGCUUCUCAUACAGAGAUUUCUCUAAAAGCCGCAAUCAUGCUAAACUCACCUUGCACGGUGGAAAGUCACAGGAAUUAAUAAAAGGGAAAACUGAUCAGAAGGGACAAAAAUCCCUCAAUAUUGUAAAACUAACCCUCCACUUUUAAUAGCCUCUAAAAUGGUCCGAUCUGGACAAAAAUACCCCUCAGCUACAUCAACUCCUUUUUCCCUCCCAUUUUAAUUUUAUUUCCCUCCAUUCACCUCCUUUUUAUUAUUUCUUCCACUUUCUCAUUUUUUUCAUUUUCUCCUGUUAUUCCGUUUCUCUCUUUUCAGUGCAUUUCUUCAAGUCUCACACAGUUUCUCUUCAGAUUUCUUCAACUUAAAGCGCUUUAAGUUGUGGUUGGAUAAACAGUGUACGUUUAUUUUUAUUUUUCCAUAUUUUUUUUCUUUCAUGUUUUAUUUAUUGAAUAUUUUCAAACAUUUAAUGAGAUGUAGUAAAUAUUUAAAUAAGUUUGAAAUUGUUAUAAUUUUUUUAAUAUCAUUUACAGCCAUGAAAAAAGGGAUUAAAAGAAGGAAACAAUCAGCUUAAAAAGUGUAGCGUGGAGAAACAUUGUCUAUAUGGAAAAAUCAAAUGAUGGUAAGUAAUAAAACUUAUGGAAUUUUAUGAUGGUUUUGGUAUUGUUUGCACAUUUGUGCUUUAUAUAGAUGUAAAUAUAUGUGUUAAUAGGGUUUUGACAUAAUAUAUAAAGUUAUCUUUUUUAGUUAUAUAUCAAAACCUUACGGAUAUUAAGUUGAACUUGACGUGUGUUAAGUUGAACUUGAAGUAAGUUAAGAUUGUAUAUAGUUAUUUUAUAGUAACAUUAUAUUUUUGUUAUUGUAUUUAAUUAUACUCAAUUUGAGUUGAAUCAUUUGCAAAUUAGCCUUGACAUUAAAUAAAUUACAACAUAACCAAUCUUUUAGUAAACAAAUAUAUUUUUAUUGUUUAAAAUAGUUUAGAGUUACAAUGUCUGAAUUUAUUUAAUAACUAUAUACAUUGUAUUUCUAUAUCAUUAUUGGUAUUAUUUGAGGUAGUAAAGAUGAUUAAUAAUGUUAUUUAUUUGUUGUUUAUUAAAAAAAUAAAUAUGUGUAAUGAAAUAAUAUGUAUUUAAUAAUGAAUGAGUUUUUUAAAAUUAAUACCUACUUAUUGGUGCUAAUGCUAUGAUGUAACUAAAAAAUAUUCUAAUAUUGUUUGUUGAUGCCACUAAUUGAAUUAUUCUGUUAUUUCAGUGGUUGAUGAAGUAGGAAUAAUGCUUUUAUAUGAAGGAGAAUGGGUACGAGAUGGAAAUGUUUUCUAUUUCGAAGGAAGUAAAGGUAAAGGCAUUGAGAUCCCGAAAACUAUAUCAUAUAAAGAGUUAUUAGGGGUUGUCCAUCAUAUUUUGAAGCUAGAUCCAACAAAUUGUUUUCUUUCAAUGAAGUAUGUAUUCAAUGCCAACAUACCCACAAGUCCUAUACAACUAACUGAUGAUGGGGAUGUGAAAUUCUUUAUUGGUUUAAAUUGUACAAAUGGUAAGCUGCCUGUUCCAUUGUGCAUCACAGUUGAAAAGAGAAUUGAUAAUCACAAUCAGAAAUCAAUUUGCAAUUCUUAUUUCGAAUGUCAUAUGUCUUCUGAGAUUGAUAAAGAAUUGAAUGAGGACUCAAUGUUGAUGCAUAAAAGUAGACACAUUCAUUGUGAUUCAGUUGAAACUCUUACUGUUGAUGGUGAAAAUGGACCAAGAUUUCAAAAUGAGUCACAUGAAGGGUAUAAAGUUCAUGAUUGGAACAUGAAUGAGACUGCAAUUAAUGAGGAGGAUUAUAGAAUGAAUACUAACCCUACUAGUGAUAAGCAAGUGACCCAAAUUGGCUCAUUCAGAACUGGUUCAGCUCAGAGUGCAGAAAUCUUGACCAUGAUUGAUACAAGUGAUGGGUUCAUACAUGACAAUCCCACUAUAAUCGAAGAUGUAGCAAAUGAAAGACAAAACAUGAUGCAACAACCUAUAGUUAGUGGAAUUAGUGAUGACCAUCUAGAAGAACACCAAAUUUACUCAAGUAAGAAAGAAUUACAAAGGAAGUUGUAUAUGAUGGCUCUGAAAAGGAAGUUUGAGUUCAAAACAACUAAAUCCACUACUAAGUUAUUGCUUGUUGAAUGUUUUGAUAAAGAAUGCAAGUGGCGAGUUCGUGCUACCAAGUUGGGGAUUUCCAAUAUGUUUCAAAUAAUGAAAUUCUAUUCAACACACACUUGUCGGUUAGAUAUGAUGUCUCGUGACAAUCGACAUGCAAGUAGUUGGUUGAUUGGUGAGAGUAUAAGAGAAACAUAUCAAGGGAUUGGUUGUGAAUUUCGACCAAAAGACAUUGUAGCAGACAUUCGAAAGCAGUAUGGCAUUCCAAUCAGUUAUGAUAAGGCGUGGAGAGCCAAAGAACUUGCUCUAGGUUCUAUUAGGGGAUCACCUGAGGAGUCUUAUAACACUUUACCAUCCUAUUGCUAUGUUUUAGAGCAAAAAAAUCCUGGUACCAUUACUGAUAUAGUUACUGAUUGUGAUAAUCAAUUCAAAUACUUUUUUAUGUCGAUUGGUGCAUCUCUUGCUGGGUUUCACACAUCAAUAAGGCCUGUGGUUGUAGUUGAUGGGACAUUUUUGAAAGCAAAGUACUUAGGGACUUUAUUUAUUGCAGCGUGUAAAGAUGGCAACAAUCAGAUAUACCCUUUAGCCUUUGGGAUUGGUGAUUCAGAAAAUGAUGCCUCAUGGGAGUGGUUUUUACAAAAACUACAUGAUGCACUUGGACACAUUGAUGAUUUGUUUGUGAUAUCAGAUCGACAUGGUAGCAUUGAGAAAGCAGUACAUAAAGUAUUUCCCCAUGCGAGGCAUGGUGUCUGCACUUAUCACGUUGAACAAAAUUUGAAGACAAAGUUCAAGAAUCCUGCAAUUCAUAAGUUGUUCCAUGAUGCUGCCCAUGCUUAUCGUGUUUCAGAGUUUAAUUUUAUAUUUGGGCAACUAGAGAUGAUUGACCCAAGAGCAGCAAGAUAUUUGAUGGAUAUAGGUGUUGAUCGAUGGGCACGUUCAUAUUCUACCGAAAAAAGAUAUAAUAUCAUGACGACAGGGAUCGUUGAAAGCCUUAAUGCUGUGUUGAAAAAUGCUAGAGAUCUUCUGGUUUUGCAAUUGGUUGAAGAAUUGAGAAACUUACUUCAAAAAUGGUUUGUGACUCGUCAACAACAAGCAAUGUCAAUGUCAACUGAACUUACCAUGUGGGCUGAUGGAGAACUUCGUUCUAAGUAUAAUAUGUCAGCAACAUAUCUAGUGGAACCUAUCAACUCCAAGGAGUGUAAUGUUAACUAUGCUGGCAUUAGUGCUCAAGUGAAUUUAGACACUCGUUCAUGCACAUGUCGACAAUUUGAUCUUGAUCAUAUUCCAUGUGCACAUGCUAUUGCUGCUUGUAGAUUUUACAACAUUUCAUGUUACACUUUGUGCUCCAAGUAUUUUACUACUAAAGCAUUGUUAUCUUCAUAUUCAGAGUGUAUUUAUCCAACUGGAAAUGAAAUAGAUUGGGUAGUACCUAAUCAUAUUCGUGAUAAAGUUGUGUUACCACCUAAAACAAGACGCCCAACAGGAAGACCAUUGAUGGGACAUUUUUGAAAGCAAAGUACUUAGGGACUUUAUUUAUUGCAGCGUGUAAAGAUGGCAACAAUCAGAUAUACCCUUUAGCCUUUGGGAUUGGUGAUUCAGAAAAUGAUGCCUCAUGGGAGUGGUUUUUACAAAAACUACAUGAUGCACUUGGACACAUUGAUGAUUUGUUUGUGAUAUCAGAUCGACAUGGUAGCAUUGAGAAAGCAGUACAUAAAGUAUUUCCCCAUGCGAGGCAUGGUGUCUGCACUUAUCACGUUGAACAAAAUUUGAAGACAAAGUUCAAGAAUCCUGCAAUUCAUAAGUUGUUCCAUGAUGCUGCCCAUGCUUAUCGUGUUUCAGAGUUUAAUUUUAUAUUUGGGCAACUAGAGAUGAUUGACCCAAGAGCAGCAAGAUAUUUGAUGGAUAUAGGUGUUGAUCGAUGGGCACGUUCAUAUUCUACCGAAAAAAGAUAUAAUAUCAUGACGACAGGGAUCGUUGAAAGCCUUAAUGCUGUGUUGAAAAAUGCUAGAGAUCUUCUGGUUUUGCAAUUGGUUGAAGAAUUGAGAAACUUACUUCAAAAAUGGUUUGUGACUCGUCAACAACAAGCAAUGUCAAUGUCAACUGAACUUACCAUGUGGGCUGAUGGAGAACUUCGUUCUAAGUAUAAUAUGUCAGCAACAUAUCUAGUGGAACCUAUCAACUCCAAGGAGUGUAAUGUUAACUAUGCUGGCAUUAGUGCUCAAGUGAAUUUAGACACUCGUUCAUGCACAUGUCGACAAUUUGAUCUUGAUCAUAUUCCAUGUGCACAUGCUAUUGCUGCUUGUAGAUUUUACAACAUUUCAUGUUACACUUUGUGCUCCAAGUAUUUUACUACUAAAGCAUUGUUAUCUUCAUAUUCAGAGUGUAUUUAUCCAACUGGAAAUGAAAUAGAUUGGGUAGUACCUAAUCAUAUUCGUGAUAAAGUUGUGUUACCACCUAAAACAAGACGCCCAACAGGAAGACCAAGGAAAGUAAGAAUUCCUUCUGGUGGAGAGGGCAAGCGCACAUCUCGUUGUAGUCGAUGUGGUCAAUAUGGGCAUAAUCGGAAAACAUGCAAACGACCAAUCCCUUGAUAUCAUGAUAGCUUUGGCACUCUAUGAACUUACAUGGAAUGAAAAUUGUAAUAGUGAGCUUUUUUGUUUUUUUGGUACCCAUGUGAACAGAAAUGUAAGUUACUUUUUUGUAUAAGGUGAUAGGAUAAGCACAUAGAUGAAUAUUGUAAUAAUGAUCCCCUUUUUUUGCAUAACCAUAGAAAUGGAGAUAUUUGUUACUUUUGUACAUAUAUGUUAUGAUGAGUUAUGUAUAAAGUAUAAAUGAAAAUUACAUGUUUAUUCUCAAACUAUGGACUCAACUGUUCUCACGUUUAUUGAUAAGGAACUUGAGAAUAGUUAAGUUCAGGUUUUGUCUGAAGACUGUGGACUUAACUACCUUCAAGUUUGUACAUAAAACAACUUGACAAUAGUUAAGUUCAGGUUUUGUCUGAAGACUGUGAACUUAACUACCUUCAAGUUUGUUCAUAAAACAACUUGACAAUAGUUAAGUUCAGGUUUUGUCUGAAGACUGUAGACUUAACUACCUUCAAGUUUGUACAUAAAACAACUUGACAAUAGUUAAGUUCAGGUUUUGUCUGAAGACUGUGAACUUAACUACCUUCAAGUUUGUUCAUAAAACAACUUGACAAUAGUUAAGUUCAGGUUUUGUCUGAAGACUAUGGACUUAACUACCUUCAAGUUUGUUCAUAAAAUAACUUGACAAUAGUUAAGUUCAGUUUUUGUCUGAAGACUGUGAACUUAACUACCUUCAAGUUUGUUCAUAAAAUAACUUGACAAUAGUUAAGUUCAGUUUUUGUCUGAAGACUGUGAACUUAACUACCUUCAAGUUUGUUCAUAAAAUAACUUAACAAUAGUUAAGUUCAGGUAAAAAUGACAAUUGUAGACACAACUUCUUAUGAGUCUAUAGAAGAUCAACUUGAUACCUGUUAAGUCCAGAUUAAAUAUGUUAUUCUGGAAUAGAUUUCGACUUAAUAUCUGUCAAGUUUGUUCACAGUUAACUUGAUAGUAGUUAAGUUCAUGUGUUCUAUUAAGACUGUGGACUUAAUUACCUUCAAGUUUGUACCCAUAACAACUUGACAACAUUGAAGUUUAGUUUAAAAGGUCAAUUGUAUACAUAACUAUCGAACAACAUUCAUCAAAAUAUCCAAGUAGAUAUAUCAACCUGUCCAACUACAUUUAUCAAAAUGCCUAACUACAUAAUAUGAAGCUAUCCAAUUACAUAUAACAAACCAUCCAACUACAUUAUCAAAAUGUGAAAUAUCAACAUGAAUUCAUUACAUAGGCAAGUAUUUCAUAUAAAAUAACUCUGCUGCCAUCUUUUCCCGAAACCAGUCCAUUCGUGCACUUGUUAAUGACUUCAAUGGAUGGUUGUGCAUUAAGUAUUCAGCAUAUUUGAUAACAAACAUGCCACAAUCACCACUGCAUGGUACACAAAUAAUCAAUGUUAGGGCUAUUAUUAAAGAUUAAGUGUAUAAGUUAUGAAAGUAAAUUUAAGAUCACUUACUCAUUUUCCUGUUGAGGAAUAUCUUGCAGCCGUUCAAUUUCCCAUUCUUGGUAGUUAACUUUUGUGUCACCAUGAAAACCAUAAUAUGCUAUUGCAUUCAAUAUAUGCGGCAACAAUUUGGCUAAUGGUUUAAUGGCAACUUGCAAUCUUGCAUUAUUAUUGAUGCCCAUCAAUGAGUCAUAUACGUAUAUAAUCCUUCGAUGAAGGUGGACAACUCCUAAUACCCAGUGACUAGCCCGAACAUUGAUAGGGACAUACACAAUGUCAACAUCAGGCCAUUUGACAGAAUAAAGAGGCUGCAAACCAUUGGCAUAAUCAAUAAGGAUGUCAUUCUCUAGUAAUUUGAAUUGGUUCCACUUCUUGCCAUGCUUAAUCCAUCUUGCUUGAGCAUUUUGCUACAUAGAAUAAAGUUAAUAUACAUAAAUAAAUAACCAAGAUCAUAAGAUUCAUUAUUACAAAAAAAUUAAAAAUGUUAACUAAAAUUCAAACUACACAUACCCAAAACAUAGUAUCCACUGUGGUAAACUUUUGGGAAAAAAGAUGAGGAUUUUCUAUUCGCCGCUUCCGGAAAAAGAAGAAGGCAACAUCAAUGUGCUAACAAUUACAAUAAAGUAAAUUAGUUAUAUUAUUUGGUUGUAAGCUGAACAUAAUAAUAAAUAAAAAUAAAAACAAAAUGCAUCAUUUACAAACCGUGUCAGCAAGCCAUGAACCAUGAUUAGACAGUGAUUGAAACCAUUUUUUAUCUAUAUGCAUGUAGUCAAUGUCAAUUGUGGACCUUUGACAUAAAAAAAAAAAAAAAAAAAAACAUUAGUAAUUUUAUAACUUGUGAAGAACACAAAUUUACAAGUAUGGAUGUAUACAACUUACCCUUGGUCAUCACUCAUCCACUUUUGAAAGGAAUCUAAUGCUUCUUCAGAGAUUGGAUGCAAAGGAUCAAAUGAAGUUAAUGGUUUCUCAAUCUCUUUUCUUAGUUUCUUUCUCUUGGUGGGAUCUGUAAAAGGGUGCUGUAAGAUAUGAGACUUUUUAAUCUCACGCCUUCGCUUAAAAAUGGCAGGAGAUAGAUGGUGAGGUAUGACAUAUACUGAAAACUCACCCGACAUAGUUGGGGUACCAAACAACUUGGCAAUAUCAAUAACUGGAUCAUCAAUAGAGUAGUCAUCUUUCAACUCUUUAGUCAUGUGUUUUUCUGCAAGCUGAAGGUUUCUAGAAGCUUCCAUAUCAAUGUUCACAUCCAUGGGAAUGUCAUUUCUCUCCACUUCAUCAUCUGUAACAUCCUCAAAAAUUCCAGUCUGGAAAUCAAAGCCCAUAUUGUCAUCAUUUUCUUUUGUACUAGAUUUUCUGAAUCUAGUGUCAUGCAUACCGUGUUCCUCAUUCAAACUCUUAACCUAAAAUUGCAUACACCACCCAAUAAUAAUAAAUAUGAGAAAACACAAAUGUCAAAACAUUGAAGUAUUAGAAAAUUUAAACAAGUAAACAUGUCACUAACUUCUAAUAAAAGUUGUUUCAAUUCAUCCAUCUUCAAGUUGAGUCCUUCAAUUUCUUUCUUUAGAUGAUUGAAAUUUAACUCUGAGCUUUGUCUGAAUUUCACAAACUCCAUCCAUAAUUUCUGCACAUAUUGCACAUAAAUGAAAUAAAAAUUUAACACUUACAAUAUUUAUAUAUAUAUUAUGACAAGUUUGUUCACUUUGUGAUUACUACCAAAAAGUGCUAUUUUGUAGACCUAAUUAUAAUGGUUUUAAUGCACCUUUGAGUAGUAAUCAUAUUCAUUUAACCCAAUUAAUUCAUUAAGGUCCUUAGUAAUUGGUUUUAACCAUUUUGUGGCAAGUUUACAUGUUUUUAUCAGCUUAUGAACCAAUUCAAGCAUGCCAAUUGUUGGAGGAGCUACUUGGGCGAGUUAAGCAAGGAUUUUGUACGUUUAUAGGCUUGAAUUUCAAGUGGAAACACGAGCACAAGCAAUGGAGAAGAGGAAAACAGAGUGAAGAAAACAGAGUGAAGAAAACAGAUGCAGUCUUUUUUCGCACUUUUGAGGCACUUCCCGAAGUCCAAUUUUUUCAUGUUAUAUACCAUUUGAAAGCUUAGGAAGUCAAGAAUCCAACGCUUCAAACCGUGUAUGAUUUGGAGCUGAAAUGAGGAAGAUAUGGCCUUCGGAAGACAACUGCAUCAUGUCAAAUGGCCAAUUUCGCAAGGUGAAUUUCACAUUGCGAAAAUUUCGCAAUGGGAUUUUCUUCAUGGUGCGAAAUUUUGCCAUUUCGCACCAUGAAGAAACACAUUGCGAAAAUUUCGCAAGGAGGAUUAGGCACAUUGCGAAAUUCCUUUGAAUCCCCUGUUUUGAGACAUUGUUGAUGUUAUUCCACUACCGGUUCUCCAAGAUAUUUUGCUUGAUUUUUAGCUUUGUAAAUACCUAUUUUACCCUUGUAAUCAACCAAUGAAUAGGUUGCUUUUGUAAUAGCUCUUGUUUAUUUAAGUUAAGGUCAGGUUCCACAUGUUAAUUAUGGAAUGAACAUCUUAUAUUAAAUAAAGUACCAAAAAAAAAAAAACAUGCAUGCAUUAUUUAUGAUGGCUAAGUUUAGUUUAAGUUACCUCUAUUGAUGGGGUGAUUGCAUCAUUUGUUGUUUCUUCUGCCAUUGCAGCAGUAGCAGCAGCAACAUAUGCAGCAGUGUCAGAUGAGCUUUUUUCAUGCCUUAAGUCAUCAUUCUUGGCAUCUUGUGAGGCAUUUGAUUGGUGCAACAUUUCUGCUGAAGCUCCUUGUUUAUCUACAUGCUUGUAAUAGUCUUGUUGUUGCUCCUCUAAAGUGGGUGUUAGAAGCGAAUGAAAAGUUAACUACAAAGUCCAAAUCAAAUAUAAUUAUUAAUAAACAACAAUACAAUAAUAUUUAUAAUUGCAUUCUUAAAAUGUAAAGGUAAAGAAUUACUUACAUGAGGCUCUAGAAAUACAUUUUCAACCUCAGUAGACCUUGGAGCACUUGUUGCACUCCAAUUUAAUAUUCGAGGAUACCUCUCAGAUACACGAGUGGCAUAUUUCAAUCCAAUAAGUGGAAUAGCCUCGUAUGCCCAAACCUGGAAUGCAUAUGGAAAUCCAACAAGACUAUAUGCUUCAACUGCAGCUUCUCCCUUUGUUUUCUUUUUAUCUUGGUAUUUGGAUACCCGGUUCUCCAAAGCUCUUUGCAAACCAAAUAGUGUCCUCUCAUAACAAAUCCCCCCCCAUGGAUACUUGUUAAAAGCCUCCAAAUUAUCAACCAAAGCAACCCAUUCCAUAUCUAUCAAAUUUUUUCCUUCUUUCCCAAAUAAAACAUGCUCUAAAAAAUACAAAAGUGCCCAACUUUAUCACCUCUUCAUCUUCAAAUCCCUUUUUUUUUAUUUUUCUUAUUCUUUUUCUUUUUCUUUUCCUCUCCUAAAGAAAGAAAAACUUUCUCCAACUCAUCAUUACGCACCUUGUUUUCUCCUUUAAAGUAUGUGUCCCUUAUUCGUAAUGAUUUUUUAUCACAUUUUGUAAUAGGACCAAAACUCAAGCCCGUAAUCAAUGCAAACUCUUCUUUACUAAAUCUUAAGCCCUUUGACUUUAAUAAAAUCCAUAUUUCAUUGUCUUUUUUGGUUUCACAUUGACGUAACAACAAUUGAUGAACAAUUUGGGCUGAAAAUCUAAGUUCGGGAAGGAGUAAAAAAUGACCAAAACAUGAUUUUCUAAACAUCUCCAAUUGUGGUUCAGUCAAUUUCUUCUUAAUAUUUUCAAUGGCUACCAAGUGAGACAAACAUGCAAUUUUUCCAGGAAAGUACUCCUCUUUAGAUAUUUUAGAUAUAAAAGAUAGGAGAGGAGGAGGAAUGUCAAUCUGCAAAAUAAUAACAAAUUGUAAAAAUAUCAAUAUAAAUUGAGCAAAAUUAUAUUACCAAACUUAUCCAACUAUGUUAAAUCCAUCAUUUUGUAUUACUUCUUAACAUAGACUUUAUUUUCCUAUUAUUUAAGGAUGUCAUGUCAAAUGCUAAUAUUCUAAAGAUAUUAUUUUACUAAUGCAAUUGAAGCUAUUAUAUUUUAGUAAGUUGCAGCUACAAAAAAUUGGAGACAUUAUUCUAGUGUUUAUUGAAAUUUGAAACAAAACAAAACCAUUUUGAAAUUGCAACCUGACAAUGAACUUGAUAGCAAUUAAGUUCAGUUUCUUCUUAACAUAUAUAUUUAAAUCAAAAUUCUAAAUAUUUGGAUAAAAUAAUUUCACAAAAAUUAUAUUCAAAUACGUUAUAAAUUCAUAACAAAUAACUUCAUUACACAAAAUUUCAAAACCUUUUGAUGGUAAACUUGAUAGUAGUUAAGUUUAGUUUUUUCUAAUAAUUCAAAUAUUGCUUUAAACCUUGGACUAUAACCUCACUGAGAAAAUUUCCAACAAUUAGAUUAUCAAUUCAUGAAAAAUAAAUUCACAAAAAAAAAUCUAUUAAAAAUGAUAAAAUUAAAAAAAAAAUUAAAAAUCAAAAUUUCAAGUAGACAAUUAAUGCUUACUGAAUCAGUUGAUUUCUUCUCAUUUUCUGAUGACGAUGAAGAGGUUUCAAAACCUGGCUUUCUUUCACUUCUCUUUUUUCCCAAAAUUUUAUACCUCUUCUGUUUCGUAUUUUUCAUCACAGAAUUUUUUUCUUCCUCCAUUUUCAUGAACUGAAUCAACACACAAUAUCAGAAAGAUGAAAAAUCGGGUUUGAUUAAAAGAAAAAAAUAAGAACCAAAAUAAGACACUUAGGGUUUCUUCUCAUUUCAUGGAUGAAGAUUCAUAUAUACAGUUCGAAAAACCAAAAUCAAAGAAUGAAACAGUGAAACUUACUUUCUGUUUUUUCUUUGUAUUGUGUUGCCUUUUUGUUCUCUUGCAAUAAACGGAAAAAUCCUUCGUGAUUUCUUUCUCGCAGGUUAACGAAGAGACACAAUACAAGAGAAAAUUGGAGUUGGAGGAAGAGACACAAUACAAGGGAAAAUUGGAGUUGGAGGGAAAAAGGGCUGAAAAAGAUAACUGAGGGGGUGAGGGGGUAUUUUUGUCCGAAUUGGGUCAUUUUUGAGACCUAAAUAAGUAAAGGGUUAGUUUUGCAAUAUUGAGGGAUUUUUGUCCCUUUUAAUCGGUUAUCCCUUAAUAAAAUACCGGGUGGGCAUGAUUUUCAUUGCUUAAUCCAUAAGAGAAAGUAGGUCAGUAUUAUCUUCCGGCCCGUACCGGGGCAAGGAGGUUCUCCUGCGUGCCAUGGGG
rnacentral:lncRNA from 1 species